GGCGGACGGGUGAGUAACGCGUGAGAAUCUGCCUUUAGAUCGGGGACAACCAUUGGAAACGAUGGCUAAUACCGGAUAAGCCGAGAGGUGAAAGAUUAAUUGUCUAGAGAAGAGCUCGCGUCUGAUUAGCUAGUUGGUGGGGUAAAGGCCUACCAAGGCGACGAUCAGUAGCUGGUCUGAGAGGAUGAUCAGCCACACUGGGACUGAGACACGGCCCAGACUCCUACGGGAGGCAGCAGUGGGGAAUUUUCCGCAAUGGGCGAAAGCCUGACGGAGCAAUACCGCGUGAGGGAGGAAGGCUCUUGGGUUGUAAACCUCUUUUCUCAGGGAAGAACACAAUGACGGUACCUGAGGAAUCAGCAUCGGCUAACUCCGUGCCAGCAGCCGCGGUAAUACGGAGGAUGCAAGCGUUAUCCGGAAUGAUUGGGCGUAAAGAGUCCGUAGGUUGCCUUUCAAGUUUGCCGUUAAAGAGCGAGGCUCAACCUCGUCAUGGCGGUGAAAACUGAAAAGCUGGAGUAUGGUAGGGGUAAGGGGAAUUCCUAGUGUAGCGGUGAAAUGCGUAGAGAUUAGGAAGAACACCAGUGGCGAAAGCGCCUUGCUGGACCAUAACUGACACUGAGGGACGAAAGCUAGGGGAGCGAAUGGGAUUAG
rnacentral:rRNA from 1 species